rnacentral:SRP_RNA from 1 species
GGACCCCACGCAACGGACGCUUGUGAACCCCGUCAGGUCCGGAAGGAAGCAGCGGUAAGCAAGGCGGUGCGUGUCGUGGCGGCUUCUAAUU